rnacentral:rRNA from 1 species
CCUACGGGAGGCAGCAGUGGGGAAUAUUGGGCAAUGGGCGCAAGCCUGACCCAGCAACGCCGCGUGAAGGAAGACGGCUUUCGGGUUGUAAACUUCUUUUAUCAGGGACGAAGCAAGUGCCGGUACCUGCUGAAUAAGCCUCGGCUAACUACGUGCAUGCAGCCGCGGUAAUCCGUAGGUGGCGAGCGUUAUCCGGAUUUACUGGGUGUAAAGGGCGUGUAGGCGGGAGGGCAAGGCAGAUGUGAAAACUAUGGGCUCAACCCAUAGCCUGCAGUUGAAACUGUACUUCUUGAGUGCUGGAGAGGUAAUCGGAAUGCGGGGUGUAGCGGUGAAAUGCGUAGAUAUACGGAGGAACACCAGUGGCGAAGGCGGAUUGUUGGACAGUAACUGACGCUGAGGCGCGAAAGCGUGGGGAGCAAACAGGAUUAGAUACCCUGGUAGUC